GCCAGGCGCAGUGGCGCGCGCCUGUAAUCCCAGCUACUUGGGAGGCUGAGGCAGGAGAAUCGCUUGAACCCAGGAGGCGGAGGUUGCAGUGAGCAGAGAUAGCGCCACUGCACUCCAGCCUGGGCCACAGAGCGAGACUCCACCUCAA
rnacentral:SRP_RNA from 1 species